CCAGAACAGCAAUAAAGGAAGAGGAAAUAAACAAUUGGCGCAACCAUUUCACCUUGUUGAUGAAAAUAGAAAUAAAUGUAAUAAAAAAAAAAAUGUUAGAACAAGGUCAAGAAACGUAGCCACAUAAAACACCACUAGUACGUUAAAAUUGCACUUAAAACUGUUACCAAUAUGUCCCACUUUUCAUCAAAAGGUUGUGAGCAAAUCAGCAUUUGUCCCAUGGCAUACUGCAAAGCACUUGGCUCACUAGCAGAUGAAAGGGCGCAAAUGGUGCUGCAUGAUCAAGCAGAGUUGCAGCCUAGCAGACUGUGGCAAAAUUAGUGUCACAUGGUUCCUGUGAUCGAGUGCGCUACAUCAGAUUUGAACUUUCAAGCAGCUAGAAAAAAGAGAGAUACAUUGUUUACAUACUUAAAUUUUUAUUAAACUUCCAGGAAACAGGCUUAUAACUUCUAUUCCGCACCAGCAAAAAGGAUCACUCAGGGGCGAUUGUUAGGACCAGAAAACGCUUUCUUGGCAAGUGCGGCGGCUUGCUUUUUUACACAAUGUUCUGCUGCAGUGCAGGCAUAAAAUGAAGACUGAAGGGAAAAAAAAUAAACAAACAAGAACUGCCUAGUGUAGUCGGUAGUGACCUCGGCGAUCACAUGCGUGCAAAGUAUGCCAAAUAGAAUGCGCACUGAAGUAGAGGGUAAGGUCUCUUUCAAGCUAAAAAAAAAGGAAAGCUCCUUUUAGCAACAGGCGACAAUUUUCAAGUCAUACGCUUCUAUAACGGCCUUCAACGAUAGCUACUUCCACCCUUUCACUGAAAUGCUAAUCGACCACACGAUACACUUUCCUAUCCUCUAUGCAGAGCUUCCAGUCAAGCAAAAAAAGAAUCCGAAGUUGUGAGCAUAUCAGUCCAUUAUGCCUAAGUCAAACUAGAGCAUAGUGCAGAAUGAAGAGACUCCUCAGCAGUCUUCUUGACAAGGUUUCACUGCAAAAUGUAGCAGGUUUCCUUCAAAAACAUUUCUUGCCUAAUUAACAGUCUGCACUGAAAAGAACAAAAUUGAGUGUCCACAUGCCAAGUUGCAUCGUGCCUUAGCCAUCAGCAUCCCACCAAACGGCUCUCCACCAAUGUUUCUACAGCAUCAGCCAAGCUAACACCGGUGAAACAAUUGGAACUGCUUCAACAAAGCAAGGAAUCGGUGAUGUCCCUUACCAUCGAUGUAACCACAGUCAAUCCCACACACCAACCCAGUCGGAAUAGAAUGAUCACUGUGCAAGUGUCGCAAUGAAAUUGCCAAAUGGCCUGAAGCAAUUAUGUUGUCCUUAUAUUAAUGCAUGAUAUCUUCCAGCCAACUUUCAGUGCGUAAAACAAAAUCAGAUGCAUGCUCAAUUAACAAAACACGAUUCGCUCAGAACUGCUGGAAAGAACAGACAAUAGAAAAACAUUCGCUGAGCGCACGCAAGUGUUGAAGCCUUGCUGCACCAACCUGUUCACUGAUACUUGGUCAUGAAAGGAAAGAUAAAACCCACAAUUUUUCUUGAAAUAAGGAACCCACUGUCACAGCAAUCUUGUUUCCUAUAGCACAGUUCUGCACCAAGCAGCAGUCGAGCAGCCAGCACUCGUAGGAAACCAGGCUGCUCAAUACUUGUUUUGCCUUGAUAAACAGGUUUCCCACAUGCAGAAAAAAAAAAAAAAAAAGGUAAUUCUUUUGGUGCUGGACACUUGCUAAACCUCAUGUAAACGAGAAUGCUCUACCCACAUGUAGAAGAAAAAAACUUGACUCGGCGCACACGAUUCUGGAAUUGGCUGGCUUUGUCGAUUUCUCGGUCAGUGGAAAAAAUCCACUGAAUGGAAGCAUUUGGCAGCUGGCCCAUUCGGGAGCGUGAAGCUAAA
rnacentral:lncRNA from 1 species